CGCAGCUGUGCCUCGCAGGGCCCCGGGCCGGCGUGUCCCUGCCCUAGCAGGACGGCUCUCCUGCACUGAGCCGGGCCGGCUCCCCGCACCCGGCUGCACCUGAAGACCUCCACGUGCACUGGGCAGUGCACAGGGCAGUCCGGGCACCAGCACACCAGCCAUGGGGGCAGGGUCCAGGCCAAGCUGUGAGCCUAGGCUCUAGAUGGUGUGGACAACGGGCUGCACCCACCUGCUCCUACCUGCCCUGCCCCAGAGGCACCGCAGGGCCUUCGCUGGUCCCUCCUGGGUACAGUGUCCCAACCUCAGCUCUCCUGCUGCAGGGACUGAGUCCCUGGAUGACAGACACCAGAGGGAAUGGGGAGCGUCAGGUGGGGGGGCUUCCUCCAGAGUGGCCCCAGGUGUUCCUCUCAGGGAGGUGACUGGACUGGGACAGGAGUGCAGUGAGGAGCGACCAGCUUGCAGGGAAGGGCAGUCUCUGUGUCCAGCUCAGUGUCCGUCUGGGACUCUGGAAUAACCAGCGGCGUGUGAGAAGCCUCUUCACACAGUCCACACGGCCUCCAACCUCCGAUCCGCGCGAACAAGGCAAAUGAACACGGCAUCACCGACCAGAGGCGGCCGCGUGACGGGCCAGAAGCAGCCGCAACAGGCCAGGACAUCAAACCCUCCGUCAAGGGUGAGAGCGGAUAGCCCGGGAUCACUCCAGCCAUGGCAAUUAAAAGGAAGGAAGGCGCAUCGAGAGGUGUGAUCCUGCCGCCCCGAAGCCGCGCCGGUGGCUGCCCGCAAGGCUUGUGGCUUGGAGGGCAGCGGGGCCGGGCCUGGCCCCUUCCCACUGAGCUGGCUCAGGCCCUGGAGAGGCCCCAGAUGGGAGCAGAGCCACCCCGGCCAGGAUCCGGGGCACACCUGUGGGGUGGGAGCCUGGAGGGCCUGCCCGUGGCCAGCCCUGGCCGGCUCCCACUGCCCAGCCAGGACCGCUCCUCUCUCCCAGCCUUCCUGGCCCCAGAGGCCCUGCUUCCCGGGGGUCAUCCUGGACCCUGGGGGCUUCACCUUCCCAUCAGGACAUGGGGUACUACAGAGUCCUGGGCUGCUCCGUCCUAGCCCUGGUGAGCGUGGAGAGGGCGUGGGGCUGGGCGAGGCUCAGGCUGCCCAGCACACGAGGCCUGGGUUCCAUCCCAGCACCUCAGAAAAAUGAGUGGACCUGACAUGCCCUGUGGGCAGCACCCUCGCCCUGGCCGAGCACGCGUUCUCCUGCCCCGCCCCAGCUGCCCCUGCCCUGCUCUGCGAGCCCCACAGACCACCUGUCCCCAGCCUCCGCCAAUUUCCUGGCAGGCCCAGCCUUGGAGAUGCCAGAGGAAGCUGAGCGGGGCCAGGCGAGGCACCAUGUCGGCCUCUCCUCCGGCCCACCGCUUCCUCCUCCCUGUGCGGAUCCCGCUCCACCCGCAGCCCAUGAUCCCGCGCUGUGGGGUGGCUGGGGCUCCAGAGCCCCAGGACAGCCCCGCCUCCCUUUGUCCCCUAUUCUGACCAUGGCAGGGAACCUGCACUUCCGAUCUCUGGGCACCUGCUGUCCCCAGGUGGCCUGUGGCCUCACCACUGUCACGCAGGCACCCCGGCAGGAGCUGACUUCCUGCCUGGGCCUCGACACUUGGCGUCACUACAGAAAUUAACGGUCACCAGUGAAGCUCAGCGGCUGUAUGCAGUGUCCAGUGUGCCCCUCUCCCGGGGUUCACUGUCCUGUGCUGGCCCCUGUGAGUGCUGUGGGCACUGCUGUCCACGGGUCGCGUCCAGGACUUCUGUCUAGCCCCACAGAGCGCAGCCCUCUCUCUGCUCCUCCAUUCUCUCUGUGAUGUUCUUUGUGCCUUCAAAUCAAUAUCGGCUUGAUUUCAGCCUCUCCUCAG